GAUGAACGCUGGCGGCGUGCCUAAUACAUGCAAGUCGAGCGAAGCGGGGAGGGGGGAGUAACACGUGGAUAAACUGCGAGAAGACUGGGAUAACUUCGGGAAACCGGAGCUAAAACGGAUACUUAGAGAUGGAUCCGCGAUGCAGUAGCUAGGUGGUAAGGUAACGGCUUAGCAAGGCAACGAUGCAUAGCCGACCUGAGAGGGUGAUCGGCCACACUGGAACUGAGACACGGUCCAGACUCCUACGGGAGGCAGCAGUAGGGAAUCUUCCGCAAUGGGCGCAAGCCUGACGGAGCAACGCCGCGUGAGUGAUGAAGGUCUUCGGAUCGUAAAACUCUGUUAUUAGGGAAGCGUUACCUAAUCAGAAAGCCCCGGCUAACUACGUGCCAGCAGCCGCGGUAAUAC
rnacentral:rRNA from 1 species